CAUGCAAGUCGAACGGGAAUUACUUUAUUGAAACUUCGGUCGAUUUAAUUUAAUUCUAGUGGCGGACGGGUGAGUAACGCGUGGGUAACCUGCCUUAUACAGGGGGAUAACAGUCAGAAAUGGCUGCUAAUACCGCAUAAGCGCACAGAGCUGCAUGGCUCAGUGUGAAAAACUCCGGUGGUAUAAGAUGGACCCGCGUUGGAUUAGCUGGUUGGUGGGGUAACGGCCCACCAAGGCGACGAUCCAUAGCCGGCCUGAGAGGGUGAACGGCCACAUUGGGACUGAGACACGGCCCAGACUCCUACGGGAGGCAGCAGUGGGGAAUAUUGCACAAUGGGGGAAACCCUGAUGCAGCGACGCCGCGUGAAGGAAGAAGUAUCUCGGUAUGUAAACUUCUAUCAGCAGGGAAGAUAGUGACGGUACCUGACUAAGAAGCCCCGGCUAACUACGUGCCAGCAGCCGCGGUAAUACGUAGGGGGCAAGCGUUAUCCGGAUUUACUGGGUGUAAAGGGAGCGUA
rnacentral:rRNA from 1 species